rnacentral:rRNA from 1 species
GAUGAACGCUGACAGAAUGCUUAACACAUGCAAGUCAACUUGAACUUCGGUUUGGGUGGCUGACGGGUGAGUAACGCGUAAAGAACUUGCCUCACAGUUAGGGACAACAUUUGGAAACGAAUGCUAAUACCUGAUAUUAUGAUUUUAGGGCAUCCUAGAAUUAUGAAAGCUAUAUGCGCUGUGAGAGAGCUUUGCGUCCCAUUAGCUAGUUGGAGAGGUAACGGCUCACCAAGGCGAUGAUGGGUAGCCGGCCUGAGAGGGUGAACGGCCACAAGGGGACUGAGACACGGCCCUUACUCCUACGGGAGGCAGCAGUGGGGAAUAUUGGACAAUGGACCAAGAGUCUGAUCCAGCAAUUCUGUGUGCACGAUGAAGUUUUUCGGAAUGUAAAGUGCUUUCAGUUGGGAAGAAAAAAAUGACGAUACCAACAGAAGAAGUGACGGCUAAAUACGUG